GGGGCUUCGUCUUCGGACUGAAAAUGACUGCAAACUUUUGAAUAUUGACUAACUGCCCCGACGUCCGAUAGUAGGACCUGACAAUGGAGGCAAAUUGCUCCACAUUUCGGACCGAGGCACACUCGAUGAGGAGAUAGUGGAGAGAUGGAAUCUUGACUCUUGACUUGAAAUGGCAAGCUUCUAUCUCUUGGAGGUAGACUUACAUAAAUAAAUCCGGUACUCACCGAUUGGAUUAUCAACAGAUGCUUUCCUCUGGAGAAGAUGAGACUGCCUUAGAACAGCCUGCAAGGUUAAUUGACAAAUAGAUUGUUUGGAAAAAGGGGAG
rnacentral:lncRNA from 1 species